rnacentral:tRNA from 1 species
CUAUCUUUGGCGAAAAUGGUAAACGCGUCGGACUGAUAAUCUGAAAGUUGCCGGUUCGAUUCCGGCAUGAUUUA